ACCAACUUCAUUUAAUAAUAAUAAAAAAAAAAAAUCGAAGGAUUACUAUAAAUAUGAAACAGUAAUGCCUUAAAAUUUAUAGAGGAAAUAUGGCUUCCAGAAACAAAGUUGGUGUAAUGUAUCUUCUCAUUUGGUGUGCAAUUUUACUGAGCGUCAAUCCAACAACUGUGAGCACAAAAACAACAUGCCCACCAUGCUAUCCAUAUAGUGUAGGUGCGUAUAUGACCUGCCCAUCUUCGGGCAGUAAGCAACUUAAUCCGCUCUGCAAUUGCUGCUAUGCUCCGAAAGGCUGCACCAUUUACUUUGCUUCUGGAACACCAAUCUGUACUGCCACUUAAAGGGAUCAAUGGGAUGCGAUGUUGAAAUUGUUUGCUAGUACUCACAUUUGGUUUACAAAAUAAAUGUUGUUAUAUAGAUACAAUGAAUUGUCUCGUAUUAUCAGCCUAUUUGCAUUUGUAUUGCCUAUAUUGCAUUUGUACCUCUAUUGUCUACAGUAUAAUGUCGUUUCAUAUAUAGACCCUUUAGCGGUUUGGUAUCUUGUACGAUAACGAUUUGUAGCCUUUUGUACUCUAUCUCUAUGUGUACGAAUUGCGAUCACUUUAAUUCAAUGGGUGUUCUUUUA